rnacentral:rRNA from 1 species
GAUGAACGCUAGCGGCAGGCUUAAUACAUGCAGGUCGAGGGGCAGCAUGACCGUAGCAAUACGGUUGAUGGCGACCGGCAAACGGGUGCGGAACACGUACACAACCUUCCUUCGAGCGGGGAAUAGCCCGGGGAAACCCGGAUUAAUACCCCAUAGUAUAUUGAAGAGGCAUCUCUUUACUAUUAAAGAUUAUCACUUGAAGAUGGGUGUGCGGCUGAUUAGCUAGNGGUCGGGGUAACGGGCCCACCCAAGACAACGAUCAGUAACUGGUGUGAGAGCACGACCAGUCACACGGGCACUGAGACACGGGCCCGGACCUCCUACGGGAGGCAGCAGUAAGGAAUAUUGGUCAAUGGACGCAAGUC